CCCGACAAUGAAGGGCUAAUCCUUCCUCUCCUAACCA
rnacentral:tRNA from 1 species